UUAACAUGUCAUUUGCAGUUUUAUAGAACAAGCAUUUUUGAAAAAUGUCUCUUGAACUUGAUGUAAAAUCAUAAUAAUAAUUUUUUCCACCAUUGGAGCAAUUUUAGCUUGAAGUGCCUAAAUGCUAAGGAUAUUGUUGUGAAUUCUGCUGUCCGUAAAAAAAAGAAGCUUUGAAAGAAAUUCAAAUUCCAGUUUUGAAAUUCAGUAAAUGUAUUUCCCUGUCAUUCUAAUUUUCUCUGGUUGGUGGCCAAAUUUAAAUUCACACACAGGAAUUGAAAGGGAACAAGUUCUUCAAAUUUGAAUUUUUCUCAACCUUGGUGUAGAACUUUCCAGCAGGUGUCACUACUGUUUGUUUAUGUGUAUUUCAAGUGAUGGAUGUUAUUUUUAUUUUCCUGGGUAUUUGAGGAAAAUGUAUACAUUUACCAUCUUAUUCUAAAUGCAAGCACAUUUAUGUUAUUUAUAUAUGUUCUAAUAUUACUAGGUCGCAGAUAUGCCUCUUAUCAUUCCUAGUCACCAGAUUGUGAAUCUGUACAUGCGUAGUUAGUGAGUGCACAGGCGCCGCCUUUAUUUUUCAUUUUCAUUCUGUCGUUGAUCAGGACUGGUACGCUUGCCGGUAAGUGUCUGUAAACUGACAUUGCUAGUAAUUCAGAUCUAAAAAUAAUAUCGCAUGAUCGUGUCAUUUCAUUAGUUCUUUCUGAUGUUUGUUUUGUUUCAUUGCAGGUUUACAACCUAGCGAUCUAUAGUGACUAGUUAACUGACGAGCUAAACGUCACAUAUGACGAGCUGUGUAUGUGUGCUCAAUAAAUGCUCAAAAAGUGGCUCGAGUUGUAUUCGCCGUGCUUGUCCUGAAACCCUUCCAGUGGGGAGUUUACUGAGCUAUAGCAGGUAGCUUAGAAGAAAACUGGACAGUUGUAAACCGCCGUCGGAGCCGUGCUAGGAAAUUCACGGACACCGAGCGGGGGAGAAGCCAUCGUUGUUGACAGAAGUCGGGAUCGGAGACCCGUAUACUGAGAAGGAAGCGGCCGUUAACAACACCACUGCAAAAGAAGAGCCGAAGUCAAGAGUUAACGGGGCCGUUAAAGUGCUGAAUGACCGUGAGUAAGACAGUGUGAUUAAUAACAGCUGCGGAGCUAUAACAACGCGACUAUCAGCCGUAACAGCUGAGUCUAAUCUUUUGAAGCGAAUCUUUCUGAACGAGUCAUUUGAGUCGACUCCUCUGAACGAUUCUUUUUGAACGAUUCUUUUUGCUAAAAAGUGAUUUUAGUGAUUUUGAUCACCGGGAAGAGGAUAAAGAUAUGAGAAAUGGCAGAUGAAAAACCAGAUCUGGAGAGUUUAAAACGGAAACGCUCAAAUGCACAACGAAUCUUUACAACAAGAAUAAACCGCCUUAAUGUCAGUGCUGGCCGUUUACGUGAAGCUGAAUUGUCAGAAGAGUUAGUGAAGUUGAAAGAUGAUUAUGACAAACUCCUUGAUGGUAGUAAUGAGUAUGUUGAUGCACUAAGCCAAAUAGAUGCUACGGGUGAUGACAGUGAGUCGCAGGAUGCUCUGGCGAGGAGAGAUGCCAGUGAGCAAAAAUUCCUUGAAACUGAGAGUAAAAUCAUGGAAAUGCUGUGGACUAAGUAUGCAGAGCCAGACAUAGAUGCUCUUGUAAAACAGUUCAAAUCUGCUUUUAAUCGAGCUGAGGCACUCGGCACAAGUAAAGUGCCAUGGGCGCAGCAGAGGGUCGAAAGUGGUAAACUGGAGAGGAAACUUCAUGAACUCCGGGAUGCUGUGUACACUUGGAGAGAUUAUCGUCCAUAUGGAAGAGACAAGUGGAUGCUCUUUUUAUCAUUAAGAGAGGAUAAAGAGCAACUGAUGGAUGGGUGGACAUACAGACGUGAGGAUGAGGUUAUGAAGAGGGACAGUACAGAACUAAAAGGCCAUGGUGAGGGGGCCGAGGAUGAAGACGAGGGAGGAAAUGAUGUGGUCGGUGGGCAUGUCAUAACAGAUAUCAACAGCCUAACAACUGCAGAUAGCAUCACCUUUACCCAACCAGUAGCUCUUGCUAUUGCUACUCCACCUGUUAACAGUCAGCCUGCUGUUGUCAGUCCACCCGCUGAGGGGCAGGAAACUGUAAAUGUAACAAGUUCUCCUUCAUUCAUGUCUACAGACAGAGCAAGCAUUUCUACUUGUGCUGCCAGAGGUUCUACAGCCAUUAGUCAACCUCAAAGCAGGUAUGGCACAGCUACUGCACACAAUGCCUCCCAACAAAUGUUACAGCCCAUUCUGCAGUCAAGAAGGUCUGAUAGUGGGCUUGGUGUCAGUUUCACCCUACCUUCAACUUUUGCCAGCACGCCACAAUGGUUGAACGAUCAUGCUACUCUGCCUGUUGAUCUCAGCAUGGGACAAAGUAGUAGCAUGCCAUAUAGUAACCCUGGUUCGCACGCUGGUGCAGAAAACAGCUCUCAGUGGGCCCGACCAAGAAUAAAGCUCACACCAAUAAGCUUACCUAAAUUCUCCGGUGACCGGAGGAGUUAUUGGCGUUGGAAGGCUGAAUGGGAAAGUAUCCAGGCACAAGCAGAACCUACAGGGUCUAGGGAAUGCAAGAAACUUCACUUACUGGAUAGUAUAAGUGAGUCAGUGAAAAGUGAACUCAGGCUAUAUCGGUGCAGAGAUGCGAAUGAUAUCUUCAGGGAAUUGGAGAACCAUUAUGGUGACAAAGCACACACGGCCGAAGAGAUUGUGUUGGAGCUUCAAUCACGACCUGCUGUAAAGAACCAUCAGCCACGAGAAACGUUAGAGUUGAUUCUAGCAGUGGAGAGGGCAGUACUGGAUCUCUCAGACCUUGGGUGCGAAGAUGCUGUACGCAAUCAACUUGUGAUUCGGUCUUUGGAGAGUAAACUCCCUGAUGUUAUGAAAAGAGAGUGGCUCAUGUGUGUGAGAAAUCCUGUAAAUGACGUCCAUCCUGGAAACCGUUUUGACAGGCUCUUGAUGUUCCUGGAAGACCAAAAGUCAUUGCUCGUCAGGUUGGAGCAGUUGCUGCCCAGCAAACCAUGGCCUGCUAAUGCUCCUGAGAGACCAAGCCACCGGGAGAAACCAGGUGACAGAUGGAGAGAGAAGAAGUCUUUCACUAAGACUACAGUAAGUGAAGUCAAAAGAGAAUCCAAGCAGUUACCAUGUGCCGUGUGUGGUGAUGGAGAUCACGGAGGUAAACUGUUUCGUUGUAAAACUUUCAGAAAAGCCAAUCUGUCAGAAAAGAAAGCUCAAGUGAAAAAGGUGAAAGCAUGUACAAAGUGUUUGGAUGUUCACGGAGUCGAGAGUGACUGUACUCCAAAGUUUCUCUGUCGUAAAGAUGAGUGUAAGAAAGGCGACACUCCAGCGGACCACCAUUAUUUCCUUUGCCCUAAGGCGUCAACAAAGAAGGACACUGUUAAAAGGGAAAAUAAAGAAGAGGAAAAGAGGCGAGCUCGAGGUCCAACAGAGGAGCAAGAGGCUGUGUUCGGUGAGUUGGGACUGACUCCUCACCAAUUGGAAGCUGUCCGCAGAGCCUGUACUAACAAGGUGACAUCGACAGUGUGUCCUGGCAAGAGUCUGAUGCAACAAAGUGGUUUGAAAGAACAUCCAGUCCUUAUGAUGCUCGUACACGUCACGACAAAGAGAGGAGACAGCCUUGGAGCUUUGGUUGAUCUUGCUUCUGACACGAAUUACAUUACACACCAAGCUGCAGAAAGGCUCGGACUGAAUGGUGAACCGGUUUCCCUUGUCGUGUAUGGUGUUGGUACGAUGAAGGUGAGAGUUGAUACAAAAAGGUAUCUCGUAAAAAUAAAAGUGUGGACCUCCCGAGGAACUCUGAAACUCCACGAGAUGAUUUGCUAUGGGAUGGAAGACAUCGCUAAAGUGGAUCGAGUGGUGAAAUCGGAGCGGCUAAAGCAAUUUUUCCCUGAAGUAGAGCCAGGAGAAUUGGCCCGCCCAAAAAAGAUUGAUCUUUUAAUCAGCACUCGUGAAGGGCGAUUAGCUCCACAAAGAUUGCAAAGGGUUGGCGAUUUAGUGUUGUGGGAUGGUCCUCUGGGCAAGAUCGUGAGUGGUGUGCAUCCAGACCUCUUUGAAGAUGUGGAGGUGGCUGCAUGGCGGUCGAAGACACACUUUGCUCAUUCAAUGAGGACGGUAGCCGUCAAAGUUGAAGAACACUUGGUUGCAAGGCCAGGAAGCCAUUUGGAGCAAGGAAACAUAGCAGAAGUUCGAACGACAGCAGUGUGCAAUAAAGAGGUCUUUGAGUGGCUAAAGUGGGACAGCAUCGGUGCUGCCUGUGAUCCUAUCUGUGGAGGAUGUCGCUGUGGAAAGUGCUCGCCGGGAGGAAAGGAGAUGUCCCUAGCUGAUGAAAAAGAGCUGGAGAUAAUAAAGGCAGGUCUAACCUUCAGAGAGGGAGAUGCGCACAGCGACCAGCCCCACUGGGAUGCGAAGUAUCCCUGGAUGGAAAACCCAGUCUCUCUUCCUAACAACCGAAAGGCUGUGGAAGCAACAUUCCUGAGAACGGAGAAGCGGCUCAUGAGAGACCCUCUGUGGAAAGAAGCUUACACGAAGCAAGUCCACGAGAUGGUAGAGAGGGGAGCUGCUAUUAAGCUCACUAAGGAUGUUAUGGACAGCUGGAAGGGUGCUGUGUGGUGGGUGAGUCACCUAACAGCCCCAAACCCCCAUUCAGUAACUACGCCAGUACGACUAGUCUGGAACAGUAGCCAGGAGUUUGGAGGGGUCAGUAUGAAUAGUAUUUUGCUUAAGGGCCCAGAUGUCUUAAAUCCCAUCAGAGCGGUGCUCCUUAGAUUUCGGGUGGGAGAACAUGCAGCCAUCGGAGACAUCACCAAGAUGUAUAAUUCGGUCUGGCUGGAGGAACAGGAAGUCCAUGUGCAUCGAUUCCUAUGGAGGGACUCACCGGAGGAUGAGAUUGAAGAUUACGCUGUCGUGAGGGUGAACAUGGGGGAUAAACCUGCGGGAUGUAUUGCGCAGGUUGCCAUGCGAGAGACCGCAAAGUUACCCCAGUUCUCUGAGAUGAAGGAGGAAAGAAGGGUAAUCGAGGAAGACUCCUAUGUCGAUGAUCUCCUCACAUCCCACAAUGACCCACACCGUCUAAACAAGAUUCAAGAGGGAGUGGAGAAGAUACUAAGAACAGGAGGUUUCUACCUCAAGCCUUGGAUCCGGUGUGGUCAAAGUGGGAGGAGAGAAGAGACCAAGUCCAGAACCAUGACUCUGACUUUACCCAACCAGUUAAGGGAGGAAGAUAACAAAGCCCUGGGGGUUGGUUACCUUGUGCAAGAGGACAAACUCUUUGUGAUGGUCUCUAUCAACUUCUCCAGUAGGAAGAAGAAGAUGAGAACUGAGAUUGACCUCACUGAAGGGGAAGUAGAAGUAAAAACACCAAACCCACUUACUCGUCGUGUUCUACUGAGUCAAAUCGCUGGACUGUAUGACCCGAUCGGUCUAGUAACUCCUGUGAAGCAGAAAGGAGUAAUCCUUGUGAGAAGAGCCUUCCAGGAAGCUGGUAAGCUUACUAAGGAUACCUGGGAUGAACCUCUGUCUGACGAGCUCAGAGGCAAGGCAAUUGAUCUGUUCAAGGAGUACGCUCGUCUGAGUAGUAUUAAGUUCUACAGAAGCCUUACGCCUUCUGGCUGGAAAGAUAGACCCUGGGGAAUCACAUUUUCUGACGGGAGCUGUGAGUCCUAUGGUGCAGUACUUUACUUAAGAUGGGAGACAUCAAAUGGUGUAGUCACUCGGCUAGUGGAGUCAAAGGCCAAGUUAACUCCUCUCAACCAGAAAGGUGAUGCAGUUAUGGCAGAGGUAUGUGGGGCUGUCUUUGCCACACGUCUGAAAGGAUACAUGUUGAAGCAUGGACGGUUGGACGUAGAGAAGUGGUAUCAUUUCAUUGACAGUCAGACGGUGCUUGGAGCCAUCCAGAGAGAGAGCUAUGGUUUCCAGACAUUUUUUGCGAACCGAAUCGGGGAAAUUCAGAAGGCUGGACCUGUAACUGACUGGUGGUGGAUACCAGGCAAAGUCAACGUCGCUGAUCUAGUCACAAGAGGGUGCGCUCCUGAUCUGCUGGGUGAGAAUUCUGUGUGGCAGAAAGGUCCCGAGUUUCUCUCUGAUCCAGUCGAGGAUUGGCCCAUAAAGUCGGCCUCAGAAGUGGCAGUUGAUGCAAGAGAGGUAGUGAGUAAGCUCCAGAGAAAAGCCUUUUCAGCAGUCCUUACCAGAGUUCAAGCCAAGAAAUUGUUACAUCUUGGCAGUCUUGGUGGUGAAGAUCCAAUAGUCACAGAUGGAGAAAGCGGGGCUUCACUGUCCUCUGAAAAAGGGAAGAAAGUUACCUUAACUGAGACUAAGGAAGAGGAGACUCUGUGGGGAGCCGCACUCAUAGACCAAGUGGAUCCAACAAGGUGCAGUUCUCUUACUAGACUUUGUGGAAUAGUUGGUUAUAUCCGCAGAGCUGUAAGGAAGUGGUUGGCCCGUGUACGCAGGGCCUCCAAGCCAGCAAAGUGGGAGGCAGUAUUGACAGUUAAGGAACGCGAAGUUGCAUUCCAAGACCUGUGCUUAGCUGCCCAAAAUGGAGUUAUGUUUCCUGUGACCACGCUAAACAGGCUUGUUGUAAGCAGGGAUGGGGCUUCAGGGCUCCUGAGAUGUCAUGGUAGAGUCCAGGAUUUGACCCAGGGAGAGAUUGGUGUACCUUUGGUUCCCUACAAGGCAUGGAUUAGCGCUCUUCUCACGAGAGAGGCUCAUGAAGCUAACCACGAAGGGGUUGCUGGCACACAUCUCCGUGUGAGAUCUAAAGCAUGGGUGAUAAGGGGUUCAAGGAUUGCCAGAAAUGUUGUUGAUUCUUGUAUGCAUUGCCGGAAGAUCAAAGCAAAAAUGUGUAAACAGGUAAUGGGUGAACUUCCCCUUGAACGAACUAAACCAGCCGCACCAUUCGAGUUUACAACAUUAGACCUUUUCGGUCCCUAUGUUGUUAAAGAUACUGUAAAACGAAGAACGGAGAUGAAAAUCUGGGGUGUGGUGUUCAGCUGUAUGGCUUCAAGAGCAGUACAUGCUGACAUUGUAGAAGAUCUGUCGACGGAAGGAUUCCUGAAAACAUACCAGCGCUUCACAGCUCUCAGGGGUCACCCAAGAAAGCUUUGGUCGGACCAAGGGACCAACUUUAUGGGUGCCAAACCAGUAUUACAGGAGCUUUAUGAGUUCCUAAGUAACAUUGACAAGGAUCAGGUCCAGAGGAAAGCAGUAGUUGAAGGAACCGAUUGGACAUGGGUGUUUCACCCGGCAGACUCUCCCCAUCGAAAUGGAGCAGCUGAGGCAGCAGUUCGUGUACUCAAGAGGGCGUUAAGUAGUGUUGGCAAGGGAUGUAAUCUGACAGCGCUAGAGUUCCAAACCCUUCUGUACCUGGCUGCUAAUCUGUCGAAUGAGAGACCUAUCGGUGCCAGAGCUCAGGUACAAGACGAGACCGUGGAAGUAAUCACUCCCAACUCACUUCUGCUUGGUCGUGCAGGACCCAGUGGGGACUCACGAGGGUUUGAGUAUCCAACUUACCCCGUUGUGCGUCUGAGAACAAUCCAGAUUGAGGUUAAUAAGUUUUGGAAGCGUUGGAGUCAGCUGGCAGGUCCAAACCUCUACAUCCGGCAAAAGUGGCAUGCACCUGCUAGAAAUGUUGCAGCGGGUGACCUGGUAUGGUUAGCUGAUCAGAACGCACUGAGGGGCCAGUUCAGGCUGGGUCGAGUCGUGGAAGUGUGUCCUGAUGCGAGGGGUGUAGUACGAGAUGUGAGAGUGGCAACAUGUCGAAGUUGUCCAGUUUCCGGUGGGCAAUCCAAGAGAAACCGAGUUGAGGACAACUAUCCCUCCACCAUUCUCCACAGGGAUGUUAGAAGGUUGGUGGUUCUGCUUCCAGUGGAGGAGCAGUAAAGGAUCCCCACCAUGGUGUGUUUCGGUAUAGGAUCCCCACCAUGGUGUGUUUCGGUAUAGGAUCCCCACCAUGGUGUGUUUCGGUAAAGGUUCCCCACCAUGGUGUGUUUCGGAGAAGGAUCAAGACUUUCCCCACUACCAUCCUCCUCAAGGCUGGUAGUGUGUUUCGGUAAAGGAGGUUGUUAUGUCAUCAAGAACAAUUUGUGUUGUUUCAGACAUUAAAACCAUCUUGAAGAUAUAAGUAUUAAUGUUAUAACGUAAUAUGUUUAUUCAUUUGGAAGUAUGCAAUGUUAUUUGCAUGGUUAUGGAGAAAUGUUAUGUCUAAAAGGGAAUUGUUUGGUUAGGAUGGCCUACUUGGAUUUUAGAAUCAGUAGGCCAAGUGGGAGGUGUAGAACUUUCCAGCAGGUGUCACUACUGUUUGUUUAUGUGUAUUUCAAGUGAUGGAUGUUAUUUUUAUUUUCCUGGGUAUUUGAGGAAAAUGUAUACAUUUACCAUCUUAUUCUAAAUGCAAGCACAUUUAUGUUAUUUAUAUAUGUUCUAAUAUUACUAGGUCGCAGAUAUGCCUCUUAUCAUUCCUAGUCACCAGAUUGUGAAUCUGUACAUGCGUAGUUAGUGAGUGCACAGGCGCCGCCUUUAUUUUUCAUUUUCAUUCUGUCGUUGAUCAGGACUGGUACGCUUGCCGGUUUACAACCUAGCGAUCUAUAGUGACUAGUUAACUGACGAGCUAAACGUCACAUAUGACGAGCUGUGUAUGUGUGCUCAAUAAAUGCUCAAAAAGUGGCUCGAGUUGUAUUCGCCGUGCUUGUCCUGAAACCCUUCCAGUGGGGAGU